GCACCAGUAGUUUAAUGGUAGAAUAGCAGCUUCCCAUGAAUCAACGGAUUAAGUGAUUAGCUGUUGGCUCGGGUUCGAUUCCCGGCUGGCGCA